ACGGAGCCAUCCUUGAAAUACCACCCUUUAACGUUUGAUGUUCUAACCCGGGUCCAUAAUCUGGAUCGGGGACCGUGUCUGGUGGGUAGUUUGACUGGGGCGGUCUCCUCCCAAAGAGUAACGGAGGAGCACGAAGGUUGGCUAAGCAUGGUCGGACAUCAUGCGGUUAGUGCAAAGGCAUAAGCCAGCUUGACUGCGAGAGUGACGGCUCGAGCAGGUACGAAAGUAGGUCUUAGUGAUCCGGUGGUUCUGAAUGGAAGGGCCAUCGCUCAACGGAUAAAAGGUACUCCGGGGAUAACAGGCUGAUACCGCCCAAGAGUUCAUAUCGACGGCGGUGUUUGGCACCUCGAUGUCGGCUCAUCACAUCCUGGGGCUGAAGUAGGUCCCAAGGGUAUGGCUGUUCGCCAUUUAAAGUGGUACGCGAGCUGGGUUUAGAACGUCGUGAGACAGUUCGGUCCCUAUCUGCCGUGGGCGCUGGAAGAUUGAGAGGGGUUGCUCCUAGUACGAGAGGACCGGAGUGAACGCACCACUGGUGUACGGGUUGUGAUGCCAAUUGCAUUGCCCGGUAGCUAAGUGCGGAAGAGAUAACCGCUGAAAGCAUCUAAGCGGGAAACUUGC
rnacentral:rRNA from 2 species